rnacentral:rRNA from 1 species
UACGUAGGGUGCGAGCGUUAAUCGGAAUUACUGGGCGUAAAGUGUGCGCAGGCGGCACCGCAAGUCGAGUGUGAAAGCCCCGGGCUUAACUUGGGAAUUGCGCUCGAAACUAUGGUGCUGGAGUGUGGCAGAGGAAGGUGGAAUUCCUGGUGUAGCGGUGGAAUGCGCAGAUAUCAGGAGGAACACCGGUGGCGAAGGCGGGAUCCUGGGCCAGUACUGACGCUGAGGAGCGAAAGCGUGGGGAGCAAACAGG